rnacentral:lncRNA from 1 species
UCUAGUUCAGGCAACGAUUCAACUAGAUAUCAGCAAUUCAAAGUAAACGGUAGAGAGUUUGAGAGAAUUGCAACAAGAGAAGAGAGAUACAGAGUUGAUUCCCGAGCUGUAGAUCAGCAGGCGAAGAAGAAGAAGAGCAGGGACGAGUUGGAGACGAUCUGUAGCAGGAAAGGCCUGGAGAUCUUCCGCGUGGACGUUGAAGAAGAGUAGCAGAGGAGGAUCCUUGGGGUAGAACUGCAGCGUGGUGAAGAACUUGGUGAAGAUGAGCAGCGGAGGACCCUUGGGGAAGAACCGUGGUGGCCUUCGUGGAGGGUCAGCCACCCACGCGCCUUGCCCGGAGCAGAG